AAAGUGACUAGGCACCUCGACCGCUCGUAUAUCCAUUCAAAAGUGAGGGGUCAAUAGUGCACUUAUUGCGUUCUUCUAAAGUUUGGCCAGCUCCCGUUGGAAUAUCGACAACAUUCUCGCGACCGUUUGAUAGGCACUGGAAACAAACAAAAGUCUUCCGCGUUCCGGAUAGAAGAGUCUCACUCGAGGCGAAAGAAAACCUAUGCAUGGGAUUAUUCCGGGGUGCUGCGGCAGCGAAACAAAAUUGAUGUGUGUGCUCAAGUGUUAUCAGUGUGAAUACGAUUAUUUUUGAAUGUUAUUUCGAUUACCGCUGGAAGAGUAGCAGCCAGUACCGGAGGAGUAAGAUUAUCGAAAAUGGAAUAGUCAGGAGGAGUUGUAGCUGAGCUGGAAAACGAGCAAGAAUUAAACUGUAGAAUUCAUGUUACAAACUCAAUACAAUCUUUACAAAGCUAGGACUUGAUUCACCCUACCAGUGGCGAUGUGAACAUCUUCAGUUAUAACAUCAUCAAUGUCGUACGCAAACUAGCGGAACGUAGUGAUCAGGUCAGUGUAGACGCUGCUUGGAAAAGUGUACAACUGAACAAAGCCAACCAGCCGAAGAAGCAUUAUUAAGUAGAGCAGCAGUAUUCAUCAUCCCGCACAACCCGCUCGAUCGAAGCAAUCUGGUGGGUUGGUGCGGGCAGAGGAAUCCCGUCAGCAGUUCUAACCGAGGAGGUUCACUGGGUCAUCGAUAGCAGCUAAAAGAAGCCCCCC